rnacentral:lncRNA from 1 species
GGGGUUGUAUGGCAGCUGCGACUGCAGUUGGCUGCACGUAACAGAAACCUGACUGCAGUGGUCUAACCAAGCUGGAGUUCACUGCUUGCACAUACUAAGAAGUCCAGAGCUGGUGCAGCUGCUUGAAGAAGUUACCAAGAAUCCAAACACCAUCUAACUGCUUUGUCCACCAUCUUUGUUAUGAAACGUUUAUUCUCUGGGUUGAAAGAUGUCAAGAAGAAGGGGUAAAGAUAAAGCUGUGUGCAAGCUCGUCAAGUGCCUUUUGAUUAGAAAAAUGAUAAUCUGUUUCCAUCUUGUUGUCUCAAACGGGGUCCACAUGGCCACCCCCUAGCUGCAAGGGAGUCUGGAAAUGUGAAAUACAAGGAAACUGAGAGCUGUCAGAAGUGAAAGAAGUUAUUGAAGAUCUCACAGAAACCGUGUGGGCAAUAUCCAGUAGGACAGCUGUAAUAAAAAUGGCAGACAGUAACAAGAAGGUUGGAGAGGAUGCGGAGAAAUUAGAACGUGCAUUCUCUAUUGGUGUGAGUGUGAAAUGGUGCAGCCACUUUGGAAAACAGUCUGGCAGUUCCUCAAAUGGUUACACGUAGAUUUCCCAUGUGACCCAGCAAUUCCAGUCCUAGGUAUAUACUCAAGGAAAAGAAAACACAUGUCCACACAAAAACUUGUACAUGGAUGCUAACAGCAGGAUUAUUCAUAAGAGCCAAAAAACGUAAACAACCUAGUAUCCAUCAACUGAUAAAUGGCUAAACAAACUGUGGUAUAUCCAUGCAAUGGAAUAUUAUUCAGCCAGAAAAAGGAAUAAAAUACUGAUAUAUGCUACAACAUAGAUAAAGCUUGAAAACAUUAUGUGAAAGAAGUGAAAGAAGUCAGCCACCAAGGGCCACGUAUUGCAUGAUCCCAUUUAUAAGAAAUUUCCAGAAUAGACGAAUCUAUAGACACAGAAAAUGGAUUAUUGGAUACCUAUGGCUUGAGAAGCGAUGGGGAAAGUGAGGGAAGGUGAAAGCUAAGGGAUAUAA